rnacentral:rRNA from 1 species
UACGGGGGGGGCAAGCGUUGUUCGGAAUUACUGGGCGUAAAGGGCUCGUAGGCGGCCUGCUAAGUCGAACGUGAAAUCCCUGGGCUCAACCCAGGAACUGCGUCCGAUACUGGUUGGCUUGAAUCCGGGAGAGGGAUGUGGAAUUCCAGGUGUAGCGGUGAAAUGCGUAGAUAUCUGGAGGAACACCGGUGGCGAAGGCGACAUCCUGGACCGGUAUUGACGCUGAGGCGCGAAAGCCAGGGGAGCAAACGGG